CUGGGAAUCAAUGUGUGAGGUGGUGCUAUGUAGCAGGAACCCCUCUUGCUUUGCAAAUAGUUUUUUGUUUGUUUUCCUUUUUGCCCAAUAGAGCCCUGCUCUACUGACCCUUCAAUGUGCCCGUGUGCCUAAAUAUUCCUGGUCGUGUGAAAAGAACCCAGGUAUUAGCUGAACUAAGGAGCACAAUUCUGCAACAUUUUGGCACCCAAACACGGGGCUUGAGAAAUGAAUGCAAUUGGAGAAACUGGUUGUUUUACCAGGCGUUGAUUGGAAAUGUGUGCUUCCCUUUAAGCAGUCAAGCUCAACUUGCAGAACUGAUGGGAACCCCUUGGGAAAACUGGCCUCAAAUGUUUGUCUACACAGUCCACAUACAGGGUUCUUAACCUGCGGAAACACUUUCUGAAAAUGUCAGAACUCUUGAAAACAUGGAUGAGGAAAAGCAUAAGUACUGCUUUAUGCUUUUCUUAUGAAUUUUAAAAGAUGUAAUUUAAAGAUUGAAACUCCCACAACUUUGGCAGACCAACUCCUCAGAAAACAUUAUUCUUUGACAUCAAUAUGUUUUGCACAAAAUUGAAUGGCAAGUGAAAGGCAUCAAAUGCAUAUUUAACUAUCCGGCUAUUUUGGAGAUUGAAAAAAGAAGACCUGAUUUAUCAUGUGCAAUAUCUCACACAUCUGUCAUUUCUAUUCUACCGCAAUUCGAUGGAGUCUUGUUCUGUGGUCCAGGCUAGAGGGCAGUGGCAUGAUCUCGGCUCACUACAAGCUCUGCCUCCCGGGUUCACGCCAUUCUCCUGCCUCAGCCUCCUGAGUAGCUGGGACUACAGGCGCCCGCCACCACGCCUGGCUAAUUUUUUGUAUAUUUACUAGAGAUGGCUAGUGUUAGCCAAGAUGGUCUCGAUCUCCUGACCUCGUGAUCUGCCCACCUCAGCCUGCCAAAGUGCUGGGAUUACUGGCGUGAGCCACCGUGCCUGGCCAGCAUCCUCUAAUUAUUAUUCAUAGUUUGUGAAUUUAGGCCUACGUGAAUAAUAAUAUAAUAUUUACUAUGAUGUUACUAUCUACCAACCUUAUUUUUCUUUUCUAUAAAAUAGGAGCCAAAAUAAUAUUUAUGUCAUACCUUAUGAAGUUAAAAUAAAAUAUAACGAAUGAGGGGCUUAA
rnacentral:lncRNA from 1 species